AGCAGCCGCGGUAAUACCGGGGAGGGCAAGUGUUGCCCGGAUUCACUGGGCUUAAAGGGGGUGUAGGCGGUCAGGUGUGUCGGACGUGAAAUCCACCGGCUUAACUGGUGGGCUGCGUUCGAUACUACCUGACUAGAGGUCGCCAGAGGAGAGCGGAACUCCCGGUGUAGCGGUGAAAUGCGUGGAUAUCGGGGAGAACGCCAGUGGGGAAGCCGGCUCUCUGGGGCGAUCCUGACGCUGAGGCCCGAAAGCUGGGGGAGCGAAGGGGAUUAGAUACCCCCGUAGUCCCAGCCGUAAACGAUGCGGGCUAGGUGUCCUCGACGUAAGUCGGGGGUACCGUAGGGAAACCGUUAAGCCCGCCGCCUGGGGAGUACACCCGCAAGGGUGAAACUCAAAGGAAUUGACGGGGGGGCGCACAAGCGGUGGAGCGCGUGGUUCAAUUCGAUGCUAACCGAAGAACCUUACCUAGGCUUGACAUGCUGGUAGUAUCCCGAUAGAAAUAUCGGGAGAUUCUGACUUGUCGGAAAGCCAGCACAGGUGCUGCACGGCUGUCGUCAGCUCGUGCCGUGAGGUGUUGGGUUAAGUCCCGCAACGAGCGCAACCCCUGCCCUUAGUUGCCACAGCGGCUACGUGCCGGCUGGGCACUCUAAGGGGACUGCCCCCGAUGAGGGGGAGGAAGGUGGGGAUGACGUCAAGUCAGUGUGGCCUUUAUGCCCGGGGCUACACACGCGCUACAAUGGGUGGGACAGAGGGAAGCAACCCCGCAAGGGGAAGCAAAUCCCUAAACCCACCCCCAGUUCGGAUCGGGGUCUGCAACUCGACCCCGUGAAGCCGGAAUCGCUAGUAAUCGCCGGUCAGCAAUACGGCGGUGAAUACGUUCCCGCCCCUUGUACACACCGCCCG
rnacentral:rRNA from 1 species